rnacentral:rRNA from 1 species
CCCUAUUAUUUUUAAUGUAAAAUGUUAAGCCAAAGUAUUAAUAGUUAUGUUCUUGAAACUUAAAGAAUUUGGCGGUAUUAUAAUCUUUUUAGAGGAAUCUGUUAUGUAAUUGAUAAUCCACAUUGAAUCUUACUAAUAUAAAUUCUUGUAUACCGCUGUUUAAGGAUAUAUUUUUAGGUAAUUUUCUAAAUAUAAAAAUAACUAAGAUUUCAAGUCAAGGUGCAGUUAUAUAUUAGUUGAAUAAUGGAUUACAAUAAAUUGUAUUUAAAUGGAUAAUUAUUGAAAUAAUAAUUUGAAGGUGGAUUUAAUUGUAAUUUUAUAAAGAUUAAUAAAUUGAUUUUAGCUCUAUAAUGUGUACACAUCGC